rnacentral:rRNA from 2 species
AUGUUAGCGGCGGACGGGUGAGUAACACGUGGGUAACCUGCCUGUAAGACUGGGAUAACUCCGGGAAACCGGGGCUAAUACCGGAUGGUUGUUUGAACCGCAUGGUUCAAACAUAAAAGGUGGCUUCGGCUACCACUUACAGAUGGACCCGCGGCGCAUUAGCUAGUUGGUGAGGUAACGGCUCACCAAGGCAACGAUGCGUAGCCGACCUGAGAGGGUGAUCGGCCACACUGGGACUGAGACACGGCCCAGACUCCUACGGGAGGCAGCAGUAGGGAAUCUUCCGCAAUGGACGAAAGUCUGACGGAGCAACGCCGCGUGAGUGAUGAAGGUUUUCGGAUCGUAAAGCUCUGUUGUUAGGGAAGAACAAGUACCGUUCGAAUAGGGCGGUACCUUGACGGUACCUAACCAGAAAGCCACGGCUAACUACGUGCCAGCAGCCGCGGUAAUACGUAGGUGGCAAGCGUUGUCCGGAAUUAUUGGGCGUAAAGGGCUCGCAGGCGGUUUCUUAAGUCUGAUGUGAAAGCCCCCGGCUCAACCGGGGAGGGUCAUUGGAAACUGGGGAACUUGAGUGCAGAAGAGGAGAGUGGAAUUCCACGUGUAGCGGUGAAAUGCGUAGAGAUGUGGAGGAACACCAGUGGCGAAGGCGACUCUCUGGUCUGUAACUGACGCUGAGGAGCGAAAGC